AGCAUAUCAAUAAGCGGAGGAAAAGAAACCAACAGGGAUUGCCUUAGUAACGGCGAGUGAAGCGGCAAUAGCUCAAAUUUGAAAUCUGGCGCUUGCGUCCGAGUUGUAAUUUGCAGAGGAUGAUUUUGGUUAGGUACCUUCCGAGUUCCUUGGAACAGGACGCCUUAGAGGGUGAGAGCCCCGUACGGUUGGAUGCCGAGCCUUUGUAAAUCUCCUUCGACGAGUCGAGUAGUUUGGGAAUGCUGCUCUAAAUGGGAGGUAAAUUUCUUCUAAAGCUAAAUACCGGCCAGAGACCGAUAGCGCACAAGUAGAGUGAUCGAAAGAUGAAAAGCACUUUGAAAAGAGGGUUAAAUAGCACGUGAAAUUGUUGAAAGGGAAGGAUUUAUGACCAGACUUUUUCUAGGAGGAUCAUCCGGUGUUCUCACCGGUGCACUUCUUCUAGUCUAGGCCAGCAUCGACUUUCGGCGGUGGAUAAAAGCUUUGGGAAUGUGACUCCUUUCGGGGAGUGUUAUAGCCUAUUGUAUAAUACACUGCUGGGGGUCGAGGUACGCGCUUCUGCAAGGAUGCUGGCGUAA
rnacentral:rRNA from 1 species